rnacentral:misc_RNA from 1 species
GAAAUGCGAUACUUGGUGUGAAUUGCAGAAUCCAGUGAAUCAUCGAAUCUUUGAACGCAACUUGCGCCCUCUGGUAUUCCGGAGGGCAUGCCUGUUUGAGUGUCGUGAACACCUCAACCCUCCAAUGUUUUUUUGCAUUGAAGGCGUUGGUAGUGAGUGCUGCCGGACCUACUCGGCAUAAUAAGUUAUUAUUGUCGAGGAUGCUGGCCUUCUGGGCAGGCGGCCACAGUAAGGGUGUUUGAACCGCUUCCAACAUGUCUUGCUCUCGUAGCAAACGCUUGAACCUCUGACCUCAAAUCAGGCAGGAAUACCCGCUGAACUUAA